rnacentral:misc_RNA from 1 species
GCAUCAUUCAAUUAUCGUCUGCUGUAAGAAUUUUUUAAGAUGCAUUUACAUUCUACGAUAAAGAAGAACGUCGUUGCUCCAGAGCUCCUAGAUACAUUCGUCCAUUGCAUAAAAAUUGUUGCUUGGAAUUACGGAAUAAGUGAACCUACUAUUACGAACUGAAAAUAUUUUUGUGAAGAAAAAUUGGAAGAAUAUAUUGCUCCAUCGUAUUGUAUUCUUUAAGGAAACGAAACGAAUUUAUAUGAGAAUAAUUAAUCACUAUUGUUUUAUAUAUGAGAAGAAAAACUUUUUACUUUGUUUUAUAAAAACAAUUUUUUUUUUUAAUUGGAACACAGCCAUUAAGCUAAAGAAGUUUUCUAGUUUAGAAAUGAAUUUCCUGGCAGCUAGCAAAUAAAAAUUUUAUACAGGUUUAUUGUUAUAAAUAAUCUGAUAUAUACUGUAUAAAUUCUUAUUAAUAUAAUAAUCUGUAAGAAUUGUUCUUGCUAAAGAAGGUUUACUUAAACAUAAUACUGUAUCAAACAAUACUUCAAAAAUAGUGAAAGUCUAGUUUUUAUAGUUAUGUGUAAACUAUAUUUUGUCGUUCUGUUAAAUUUUUUUCUGCAAUAUUAAGACAUUAGUUAGCGCGAAAAUCUAUAAUG